CUUUGGAGGAUCUCUGGUGAGGAUCACUUGGGAAGAAUCUCUUGAGAAAGGCUCUGGAGAAGGGAAGCUCUUGGAGGACAAUCUCUAAGGAGGUCUCACUGGAGCUCUCUCUGGUGAAGUCAGCUGAGAUGGAGCUGGCCUGGUGUCACUAGAAUCCUUGUUUAGGCAGACCUUGUGGUUUCUGAGAAGCUGAAGUCAAGGAGAAGCUUUGGGUACCUUUUGGUGGUGGAGAAUUGGUUGGUGGCAAAGUGUGGGCCUUUUGGCAUCUUGACAUGGCUACAAGCUAUUUCCCGGAUCAGUGGGUAAGAAAUUUGCUGCCUCCUGGAAUCCAGAGACUGAACUCCUUGUGGAAGAUGCCAUGGAGAUGCCCAUAGAGACCACAUGUUACUCCAGGAGUUCCUGAGAAAAACUGAAUGUGCAGAAUUGAACUUUGGGGGGUUGAAUAUAUUUGUUUAUAUGUACUUUGUUGUACCAAAGGGGAUUACCCCCUAAUUGGUUUUGCUCUUGAUUCCUUUUUGUUUCCUUAUCCUCAAUUUGUUGUAUUUUCCCUAUGUAAAAUUGUAUGUACCUUAGUGAAUUAUGUUUAAAAUGAUCCAUUAGGGAGACCAGUCUCCCAAAGGAUCACAGGGUGAAAUGUACAGGUGGAAAAUUUGCCACACCUGAGCUACAUUCCCAGUAUCCUUUUAAGUUAUGUCGUCAUUUUAUAUUUGGAGGCUUGGGAGAUAAAUUUGACUGAGACCCAUCCUGUGGGGCUAUUUUUUUGGGAGCUUGUGCUUUUGGUAAAGUGCUGCAGGUAUGAGUCUCUGGCUCUCUUUGCUCUGCUCACUUGACUGAAUGAAUCUUUUUUCUUUUCCCUCCCUUUUUUAUUAUUAUUAAAGUCCUAUAUAUUUUUAAAUAUGAGGAGUAUUUAUUCAUUUUUACUCAUACAUGUGUAAUCAAUUAAAGGAUAUUAAAA